UUAGGAGUUUUGAUUUGUUCUUGAAAGAUAGAAGAUGAUGAUGGCGUCACAAUCCUAAUUAAAUUGGAUUCUACCAAUUAUUUAAUGUGGAAAUUUUGAAUGGAAGAUUUGUUAUUUUGCAAAUACCUAUAUGAUCCUAUCGAGGAAAAAAAGUAUUAAACCAAGAGAUAAACCUUGGGAAGAUUGGAAGAAGUUAAAGAAAAAAAAACUAUUUGCAUGAUUAGAAAAUGGAUAGAUCAAAUUGUUUAUCAUCAUGUGUUUAAUGAGACUUUAG
rnacentral:lncRNA from 1 species